UCUUGACUAGUAUAUCGGUUAGUACACGCGCUUGUCAUUCCGCUAUCUUCUAUUUGAUUUCGCGCGAAAGCUGGGUUCGACUCCCAGGUCGAGAG